AGUGGCCGGGAGGACGCGGGGCGGCGGGCAGGGCCUCCCAAGCCCGGCUGUCCUCGGCCCGUGCGCGGCGCCCGGAGUCCCACUCCUCCCGAUGCUGUCCCCCGCGCCCGGAGGCCGAGCCAAUUCUCUGGGAAGUUCCCGGCUUGGGAGCGGAGCGGCCGGUCGGAAGAACCUCGGGUGCUGGCGCGCCUGAAGUUGCAGACCAGACUGAAAUGUGCGAGACAUGUGCCUUUUUCUUAGGAAAGGCCCCAGGUACCAGAAAGGUUUUCAGCGCGCCGACCUACGGGGCUAAGAGGGCUGAAAUAAGAACCAGUGACUGAGCGCCGGGAGGUUUAAGGUUUAUGGAAGAUGUUCAUCGCGCCGUACCCUACUAGAGGUUUGGGGACGUGGGACACAGCCCCUGCGUUCCCGCCGCGGACCCCGUGAUAAAUACACAGACACACAAAAUCACUACCGCCUUGAAUCUGGACAGCUACCUCAGGUGGUUAAUAUCUAACAGGAGCAGAGUGGAGCUCAGAAAGACUCAGCGUGGGUGCUGGGUUCCGGCGCGACCAGCCUGAUACCUAGGUCAGCAUCUCAGCCACACAAGCAGGCGGCAGUUCUGUCAGGAAUUACUACAUCUGGUGAUUCCACUUCUCAUAGCUCACCGCUGGGAGAAUAAUUCCUCAGGAUUAACAAGAUCUAUUCCAGAGGAUCCUCACUGCUGAAGCGAUUUUAGAAGACAGUGUGGUCUGUUGACAGUAUGGAAUAUUCUUUACCCAUCAGAUAUGAUCUGUAUGUGAUUGGAAGGAAAUAAACCAACUGCUAACAACACUUCUC
rnacentral:lncRNA from 10 species